AACUCCACACAGAAACGGCAACUGACCCAGCCGAGGCUCGAACCAGCGACCUUCUUGCUGUGAGGUUACAGUGCUGUGCCACCGAAUCACCCGUAAAAGAAUAAUGUGCUGUUUUUAAAAUUUUACAAGCCCUGGUAGCCAUUUGGCAUGCAAAUUAGGGGGAAGACAGAUUUUUAACCUACUUCAAAAUAUCUUUGUUUUUGUACAAACAUUGAUUGCUCAAAUGCGCGUGUUCUUCUCAAUAUUUUUCAGAAAGGAAAGGCUCCCGAUCACAAUAAUGCUAAAGAGAUACCACACACCACCCAUUUGCAAGAUGAAAAUGUGCCAGAGCUCAAAAGAAGAAGAUUAAGUUUUUUUUUUUUGUUUUUUUUCCACGAAUAUCUUGAUUCGUUCAUUUUCUUUGAAAAAACAGCAGCACGAGAAAGGAGGAAGUCAGAGUGUGGGAACACUGGACCUACGCUUUCAAGACUUAUUUGACAUGGGUCUAGUGGAUUCGAACACCUUGGAUGUAAUGUAAAUGUGUGGUGGGAGGUACAUUUAUGCGGUUGUUGAAAAUUUGUUUGUAUUUAUGUUCUUCACAGAAAAGAAGUCAAAGCCAGUGAAUUUCAGGUUGAAAAACAGUACAUGGUUUCAUUUUUCUUUUGAAAAAAACUGAAAACGGGUCUCACAGACCCGGACACCAUACAAGGGUUAAUAAUCCGGGGUCGCCACCGUGGAAUGAACCGCCAACUUGUCCAGCACAUGUUACAUGCAGCAUAUGCUUCACGUAUUCAUUCUUCAAAAGAAUAAUGUGUUUUAAAUUGGGGGUACAUACUUCAGAAUAUCUAAUAGUUUGUUCCUGUACAAACAUUGAUUGCUCAAAUGUGAAGAUGCGUGUGCUCUUCUCAAUAUUUUUCAGGACAGACAGUCUGAGCAUGUUGGGGAUGUUACUGAGAGGAGGGAAAACAGCCCAAAGCCACAUACAAUUGUGAGCUAACGGACAGCGACUGAAAGAGAGAUAGAGAUUGUAAGUUUAUUAAAAUUUAUUCAUUCAUUUUCUGUUCGGCUCAGUCCCUUUAUUAAUCCGGCAUCGCCACAGCGGAAUAAAUCAGCAACAUAUCAAGCAUCCUCGUUUUUUUUUUUUUUGUUCCUGUAAAAACAUUGAUUGCUCAAAUGUGAAGAUGCGUGUGCUCUUCUCAAUAAUUUUCAGAAAAGCCAGUCUUCCCGAUGUUGAUUCUGUGAAGAUGCACGUGUCAUUCUGAAUAUUUUUCAAAAAACACAGUAUUCUCAUGUCGUUGAUGUUACUGAGGAGCCACCACAGCCCAAACCCCCUUACAAAUGUGAGCGAGCAUAUAGCAUCUGACAGAGAGAUUCGAUGUGACAGUAACGCGAGAACCCACUCCACAAAGAGACCUACGUAUUCCUGAGCUGAAAAGAACUGAAAGUGUGAUCCUUAGCAAGAAAAUCCUUGGAUAUGGUACAGAGGAGUCUAACACAAGUUCAGAGAUGAGUGAGGAUGACGGUAACCGUUCUGGCCAGGAUGUCAGUAGCAAGAAGGAAAAGGACCCAGACAAAAGUGUUCCCCGGAAUAAAAUUCAGGCAAUGGAGGAAAUCCUGAUGGACUCCUUUUUUUUUUUUUUUUCCCUCCUCUCUUUGCGUCUUUGUUGACGACAACGUGUGCAUGGCAAGCUGUUUUGGCAUUUAUCUAUAACCUAUACACGUGUCUAUUUUCAUGUUACAAGUGCUUAAUUUUUAGGUACAAGUGUUUAAUCUUUGUUGAAAUCUAAUUCUACAUGCAAAAACAAAACUUUAACGUUGAAAUAAACGUUUAAGACAAUU